ensembl:lincRNA
GGUUACCCCAGGAAACAGGCUCCCCUGGGCACAGAUGGAGGCGAUUAGCGGGAUAGCCCGCGGGACGCUGGGAGCCUCCCCGGAAACCUGUCCUCAGGAAAGGAAGAUGACAUUGAACAUGGUGUCUCAGGGACAUAGAUGCGCAUCAGAGAAGCCUGUACUGCUAGGAGAAAUGAAGGAAGCCUGGAGGGAAGAGAGCAGUGUUCGCAAUAGAAAGCCACAGCCUGCCCGUUCUGGAGCUGAGCUCGCCGUCCCUGCUCUGCAGAUGAGGAGGACGCCCAGCCUGAGCCCCACUGACUCACAGCCGUGGCCCUCCCCGGAUUGUCCUUCCUCGAGUCAGGGCAGCCAGCAGGAAGAGGAGUCACCGGCUCGCAGCAGUGACUGACCCUGGUCGUCAUCCCUGGGCUGGGCUGCGGUCACCCAUGAGGAAGGACAGAAACCCAUCUGGGACCCUGAAGAGUGCCCCUCUGUGUCCCUGCCCAGCGCAGGGAUGGGUGCAUAAGCGCUGUAACCCCAACCUGAGAAGGGCACGGUCAGCCUCUCCGGGGUCACCGCACCCGGAGAGCGUCCGUGGCCAGCUCGGUGCGGCUGGGGCCAGGAGCCGAGAUCCGCGGUCACAGUGAGAGGGUGAGCACCUGGCCGCCCCCAGAGCUGACCAGCAGUGCCGAGGCCUGCGGUGUGUCCCCCCGCCUCUGCCUUCUGUGGGUCGCAUGGAAGACAGGCCAGGAGUGAACCUGAAUGGGCGGGUAACACAGAGCGGACUACAGAGGACAGGGGCUCACCAGGGCCACUCAUUCCUGGGCUGCCCGCCCCACCGGCUGAGGCUCUGUGGGGCCUGCGCGGUAGGUGAGCCUGUCCCUCUGGGAAAUCCCACUUCCCUCCCUUUGAGUCUCAAGGAACAUCUUGCACCCCCGAUUCUGACUCAGCGUCUGCUUCUGCAGAGCCCCGCCUGGGACUUGCUGGGAGGGGUGCGGUCCCCAGGCAGCUCCUGGGGAGGAGAAGCCAGCAGAUGCUCAGCUGAGAGGCUGAACUUUUAAUAAAUAUUUGUUUAUUUAGUUUUGUAGCACUAGGGAUUGAACCCUGGCCUUCCUCAUUGAGCUGCACAGUCAGCCUCUUUUUUUUUUUGCACCGGGAGUCAAACUCAGGACCUUGCGCUUGCCAGGCAGGUGCUGUUCCUCUGAGCUGUAUCCCCAGCCCCAGCAUUUUUUUUUUUGUUUUUUAAGGAUCUCACUAAGUCAUUAAAUUGGCUGGGCUCAAAAUUUCGAUCCUGUGCCUCAUCCUGGGACUGCAGGCAGGUGCCACCCCGCCCUUGUGGCUUAUUUUGAUUUCAAGCACAUCAGGUCUUCUAUUCCUCUCCUUUAGAUAACCUGCCCUGGAGCAUUCUGGGCCCUUUGUGGUUCCCUAGGACCUCCUUAGGAUGCUUUUGUUCCAUGAGGGACACCAGCUAUGCCCGGAUAGCUCCUGAAUACACUGGUUGGGAGCUCAGCAGAGACCCCAGGCUGAGACCCCGGGCAAUCUUUGCAGUUGUCCAUGGCAUGUGGGAAUGGCUAGGUUCUCCCAGUGGGUGAGUGCGGGCAGUGUCUUAGUUAUGUUCUUGUUGGGACAGAAUACCGGGCAUGUGCAAUUUAAAAGAGGAAAGGUUUAUUUGGGCUCACCUUUUAUUUAUUUAUUUAUUUAUAUUUUUGAGAGGGAGAGAGAGAAAGUCUUGCUACGCAAUUCUGGCUGGCCUUGAACUCUGAAGCCCAGGCUGGUUUUGAAGUCCCCGGUGAUCCUCCUGCCUCAGCCUCUCAAGUGCUGGGAUGGCAGGUUUGUGCUACCACACCCAGCUGGCUCACAUUUCACAAAUUUCAGCUCCUGUGUGGUCAGUGAGGUAGAAUGACAUGGCAGAGGGGCGCGGCAGAGGAGAGGUGCUGGUGGCAUGGUGAACGGGAAGCAGAGAGAAAUCAAGGGAGCACCCAAAGAGGGAGAUGACCCGUCCAUGUCGCACCCCAGGGACCAACACAUCCUGUCUCUCAGUGUGUCAGCAAUAAACCUCAAGAUCCAGUCACCUUUCAAAAGCCCCACCUAGAAUCUCUUGAGGCUUUGGGGGCAUCUAGAUGUAACCCACAGAAGACGGCGAGAAGAGGGCUGGUGUCACAGACGUCGUGUCUGGAUGCAGUGCUCCAGCUGGGGCUGAGGCACGGACUGCAGUCAGUGCAGAUGGCUCAGAAAAGAAGGAGCAAGAGACAGGUGGCCCAGAUGCUCAACAGCCCAGGAGUUGAGCCCAGGAGUUCAGAGCCAGACUGGACAGUGUAGUGAGACCCCCACCUCUAAAAAAAAAGGAAGGAAGGGAGGGAGGAGGGGAGGAAGUGUAGUUGCUUUUACUAAAGCCAACAUGGGGGCCAGGGAUAUAGCUCAGUGGCAAGGUCCUGAUAUGGCUCAAAUGCAAGGUCCUGAGCUCAAUUAACCGUACCAAAAAAAAAAAAAAGAGAGAAAGAACCAACAUUUUCCCCCUACAGCAUUUUUGCUGGGCUUGGUGGUACAUGUCUGUAAUCCCAGCACUUGAGAGGCUGAGGAAGGAGCAUCACUGCAAGUUCAAGACCAGCCUGGGCUACAAAGUGAGCUUAAGGCCAGGCUGAACUGCAUAGCAAGACCCUGUCUCAAAAAGAAAAAAAAAAAGCCAACAUGGUCUAAUUCUUUUUUUUUUUUUUUUUUCUGGUACCUGGAAUCAAACUCAUGAAGUCGUGCUUGCCAGGCAGGCACUGUGCUGCUGAGCUAAAUCCCCAGCCCCAACAUGGUCUAAUUCUAUAGAUACAAAUUUAGUUCCUAGUUUAAUCAUUACCAUGGCUUAAAUGAAUUCAGCUUUGAUUAUUUCACCCACAGAGGGAUGGACAUCUACCUCCAAAAUGGGUGCUCCUAGCUGGUAUAAGAGUCAAUGAGUUACCAGGCGUGGUGGCACAUGCCUGUAAUCCCAGCACUCGGGAGGCUGAGGCAGGAGGAUCAUUGCAAGUUCAAGACCAGCCUGGGCUACAAAGUGAGCUCAAGUCCAGCCUGCACUGCAUGGCAAGACCCUGUCUCAGAAAGACAAAAAAAUAAAUAAAUAAAAAGAGUCAAAGGAGUCGAAUCACUUGGAACCAUGCACCCCAUAUUCUAGGAGCUGAGGUAUGUUGGCUGUUGUCACUAUUACCAGUGCUGGCUGCUUACAAGAAGGACCCAGGGCCCUGGCCUCCCAGUGUGCUGGGACAGACGUGGCUUCAGCCUAUUGUCUCAGUGUAAAUGUUACUAGUGCCUCCUUUGCCAUCAAAUCUCUCCUAGCUUGGAUAAUUAUACCGCCACCCUAACAGGACAGAAUUAAAUCAUUACAAUUCUGUGAGCUAGAUUUUGCCAUCCCAAUUUAACAAUGUUCAGGAGUAACAAUUGUGCCAUUUACAGGUUAUGAGUCUACUGGAGCCAUAUUUGCAAGGUGGCCCUUGGGGUUCCUGAUGGCAGUCCCACCCUUCCCUUCCAAGGACUCCACCUAACUGGAGGGCAGGCCCAGGAGAUCAGCAGCAGCUUCUCAGGGACACCAGGAUCCACAACCAUGGGGAGGCCUGCACAUCAGCCCUGGCCAUACAGGCCCCACCAGAGCUAUGUAGUCCAGGCUGACCUUGAACUCACUAUGUAGCCCAGGUUGGCCUCAAAUUCACAGUGAUCCUCCUGCCUCAGCCUCCCAAGUGCUGGGAUUACAGGCGUGCGCCACCUAUACCAGCUUGGAGCCUUUUCUUUUUUUCAUUUCACAAAUUUAAGAAAAUGUUAUCUUCCCUUUGGACCUCCUUUUUGUACUUCUACUACACCUAGAUUCCUUUUUUUUUGUUGUUUUUGAGACUGGGUCUCACUUAUGUAGUUCAGGCUGGCCUUGAAUUCAUUAUGUAGUCUAGGCUGGUCUUAAACUCCUAGAGAUCCUCUUACCUCAGCCUCCCAAGUGCUGAGAUUGCAGGUGUGCACCACUACACCUGGCCCCAGUCCUUUUUAUUUUUUUAUUUUGAGGCAGGGUCCUUAAAUUACUAAAUUGCCCAGUUUGGGCUCAAACUUGGGAUCUUCCUGCCUCAGCCUCCCAGAGUACUGGGAUUAGAGGUGUAAGCCUCUAACCAACAGCUCACACCCAGGGAUAUUUUAUAUCCCUACAAACAAAGUCUGUGAGGCACUAAACAACCUGGGUCGGGGUUUCAGGAGUAAGACACUGUGUGUCAGGUAGGAAUACCCAACUUGCCAUUCAUAUGACAUUUGCCAUAUUCUUGCCAAGAAUUACCUGGCUAUUCUUCUGCUUCCCUAGUGGAAUAGAAGCUAUGCUUGCCUUGCUUUACCAAGUACAAACUGGGUACCCUGGGUCACCAUCAAAUGGCACAUCAAGGAGGACUGGGCCUGGACUUCUCUGAACUGCAGGACUGGACUGUGCAGAGCAACUGAGGAGAGGGAAGGAAUGUCCAUGUACAUGGCUACGGGGGGUGUCACUCCAGCUCAGAGCACACACUUAGCUUGCUCAUGGCCCUGGUUCCACCUCCUGCACACGUAGCAUGGUUAGGGGAGGUCCCAGAGGGGUCACGUGUCCACUCAGUCAACAAGCAGGCAUCAUUUGCUGAGUACAAGUGACCCUCAAUAUCUGCAGGAGCUGUGCUCCAAGAGCCCCAUAAAUACCAAAAUUCAUGGAUGCUGAGAAGAAAUGGUCUUAUGCCCGGUAUGCCUAUAAUCCCAGUACUAGGGAGGCUGAGGCAGGAGGGUCACCAUGAUGAGUUCAAGGCUAGCCUGGGCUACAUAGCGAGACCUUGUCUCAAUAAAUAAAUAACAAACAAAUAAAAUGAAUAAAAUGGUGCCAGAUUCAUAUCUAAAUUACACAAUCCUCCUGUAUACUUCAUUCUUCUUGGGGUGGGAGGGAUUUGAGACAGGGUCUCGUAUGUAGUCAAGUUGGUCCUGAGCUCAUUGCAUAGGCCAGGCUGGCCUCAAACUCAUGGCCAUCCUCCUACUUCAGCCUGCCGAGUACUGGGAUUACAGGCAUGUGUUUCCAUGCUCUACCUUCCUGUGUACUUUACACAGUCUCUACAUUACUUAAAGUACCUAAAAGAGUUAAAUGCUGUGUAAACAGCUACACUGUAUACUUAGGAAAUAAGGACAAGAAACACAAAUCUAUACAGCAUCACAGGACUAACUACAUAGUAUACCUCAGCAACAAUGUAACUUCUGCAAGUGUGUUCUGGGGAUUGAAUUAAGGGCCUUGCGCAUAGUAGGCCAGUGUUCCACCUCUGAACUACAUCCCAGCUCAACAACUAAAAUUUUUUUUCUAUUUUUUUUUUUUU